rnacentral:tRNA from 1 species
GGCUAUAGCCAAGCGGUAAGGCAGAGGUCUGCAAAACCUUUAUCACCGGUUCAAAUCCGAUUACUGCCUUCA